rnacentral:tRNA from 1 species
ACCUGGCUGGCUCACUGGGUAGAGCAUGUGACUCUUGAUCUUAGGGUCGUGAGUUUGAGCCCCACAUUGGGUA